AAGGGCUAGCCUCUGAAGGGGGAGCAUCUCUUGGGUGAAGGCUGCUUCCUGAGAAGUAGUGUUCUGUAGUUAGAAGACCCUCAUCACCAGUCAGAGAUAAAGAUCACAGGAUCAUGGGUUAAUUCAGGAGGGAAAGGAUUCCAGGAUGCCUCUAAACCAAUCUGCUUCUCAGAGACUGCACAACCAACAACCAAUCUGGGCUAUCCACUGCACUGCUGGAUCUAUCUCAGGAAACACAAAAUGGUCCAGGCUGGAACAGACUUUUGGAGGUCAUCUGCUACUUCAAUUUCCCUGCUUCCAUACAGUCUCUUACCCAGGAUGUUUUACCAGUGCAUUUACAAGUGAAAACCAUAUUUGUACUUCACAAGUUUCAAACUAAUCCAGGAUUCCCAUGUAUAAAACAAAUUGACUUUAAAAGAACUAAUAUUUUAAGAGCUUCUAGUUUUAUUUCUCAUCUGUAUUAUUAUUACUGUAAUUACAGCUUAAAACUGUUUAAGAAAGUUUGUAAAAGGGAUAUCAACAGCACAAAAGCAAGGAUUUCAAGCUAUCCAGACAUAAUUAGCUUCUUUUUGUCUUGUAAUAUUUAUCUUUUUGUCUUUAAAUAUUUAUAUGACAGAUAAUUGUGGAUUAUUUAGCUUUUUCUAACCAGCAUAAAUCACAAUAAUAAUGUUCAUUCAUUUUGAGCUGACAAGAUCAUUUAUCUUCACCAAUUCUUUAGCAAUUAUAAAUUCUCGAACUUUAUUUUUGAGCCUUUAAUGCUGAUCCCAAAUUUUGAAAAAGACCAAAAUAAUUACUCCACUUGUUCCAUUUUUCCAGUUGUGCUCAAGCAUCAAUAUAGAGACUUGCAUUUGCUACAUCAAUAUGCAAAAAAAUCAUUAAAUUGU
ensembl:lncRNA